GCAAACGAAAAAAAAAACCGACUUCAAUUACAUCGACAAGUAAUACAACGUAGAUCGACGAAAAAAUAGUCAAGCAACUACGCGUUAUCAAAGAUUACUCAAAAAGUAGUUAUCAGAUCUCAAAGUUAUUACAGAUUUUCGAGAGUUUCCCUCGAUUUCUCUGGGAUCCCAUCAUCAGAUCCUGGUUUCCUUAUCACGGUACCAAACUAGGGAUAUCCCCUUUCCAACAAAAAAAGAAUUAUCAAAAUCGGUAUAUCCAGU
rnacentral:misc_RNA from 1 species